CUCCUCCUCCUCCUCCUCCCCUUCCUCCUCCUCCUCCUCCUCUUCCUCCUCCUCCUCCUCCUCCUCCUCUUCUUUCUAUUCUGUUUCAAAAAAGGUUGGAAGAAUGACUGAGCAGUUGGAAAAACUAUGGAUGGAAAUGGAGAGGCCCAAGAGACAAACAAAAAAAUGGCUGAAAUGGGAAAAUAAAAGGGGUCAGUCUGCUUCCUUUUUGAAAUGGUUGCAGAGUUGGAGGUGCAACUGGAGAAGUUGCAAAUAGAGGUGGAGGCUCCUGGGAGGGAAGGAGUACAGGAAAAGAGGCUCAGUCCCAAGCGACUGAGCCAGAGAGUGGGGUACCCCACAGGAAGAAAGACUGAAGGAAACUGCCAGAGUACAGCUAAGUUAGGACAAAGCUGAAAAAACAGGAGGACAAUCUGUUUUGCAAGAAAGGGUUAGGGCUGGAGAGAUGGCUCAGCGGUUGAGAGCACUGACUGCUCUUCCAGAGGUCCUGAGUUCAAAUCCCAGCAACCACAUGGUGGCUCACAACCAUCUGUAAUGAGAUCCGAUGCCCUCUGCUGCUGUGUCUGAAGAUACCUACAGUGUACUUAUAUAUAAUAAAUAAAUAAAUCUUUAAAAAAAAGUAGAGAUGCUGUCUUUAAAAGAAAGAGAGAGAAAGGUUUAAUCUUGAACCAAUCAUACUGCCACAGUAGGAGGAGGGGUGGCCCAGGAUGAUGCAAUCUCCACCAACUUUCCCAGUAGUCAUAAAUGCCUGAAACAAGGUUAUGAUGAGAUAGGAUGGCAUCCUAUAGAAAUGAUAGAUCUAAGGUCUUUCAGAGAGGCCAUUAUUUCAUAUGAGAUGCACUUGCCUUAUGUGCCUAAAUAACUGGGCUACUCAAAAUAGAAUUACUCCCCCAGACUGGAAAGGAUUGGUUGCAGCUGUGCUAGAAGACAGUCUGAGUUGAAAUGGUGAACAUGGUGGAGGGAAGAAGCUGUGAAUAUUGAACAUCAAAAUAGAGCAAUGGGAAUGGCAAAGACCCGCUGCUGAGUGGAGGGCAGGACUUUGAUAUAUAAGAGCAAAUUUAAUUUGAUGGUGCUACUGUAGAACUUGGGACAAAGAGCUUGGGACGAAGUUGAGGAACCCUGGGAAAAGUCCACCUCAUUUACAAAGAUUAUAGAAGGCUCUGGAGAAGCCUCCACUGAUUUUUCACAAAAAUUAGUCUCAUUUGUGAACAAGGCCAUUAUCAGACCCUGAUGCAAGGCAGGUGUUGAUAGAGACGAUGGCAUUUGAAAAUGCAAACACUGAGUAUAAAAAUUUAUUAGACCAUUAAUGGCACAAGGAGAGCUUAUGAACAAAUGCAUAAGGGAUAUGACUAAUAUUGAUUCUAACAUAUACCAGCUAAUAUAAUAGGUCAAGCUAUAGCUAGAGGUCUCCAAUACCAAAAUGUCCAGUGCUUUAAUUGUAAGAAAUAGUCAUUUGCCAAGAGAAUAUGAUUAACCCACUAAAUGUUUAAUUGUGGGAAAUAUGGUCGUUUGCAACAAAAUUGUGAACAAGACAUCUCCAAGGAUAAUGGUUUUCCUAAAUAUAAACCAGAGAGAAGGCUAGGCUUCUAGGUGUAUUUAGGUGAUGUGACAAGGGUUGCCAUUGGACCAAUGAGUGUAAGUCCAAAGGAGAUAUUCAAGGUAAUUUAUUAUUAUUGGGAAAUGGCCUGGGCGGGAGGCAGAGCUCAAGGCCUCACAGCAAAAGCAUGGGGUGUUUCAGCUAAGGAGUGACCUCCACUUGGUAUUGGAGAUUUAAUGCAUGUUUGCUGCAAGCAGUGUGGCUGUGGACUUGGCUACAGGUAGACAUCUUACUCUAGCCUCAAGAACUCAAAGUUAUAAAAUAGCUACUGGAGUGUAGGGUCCUUUGCCUCUAGGGACAGUAGGGAUGACCUUGGGAAUAAGUGUAUUAAUUCCCCAAUGACACAUUGUACAUCCAGGAACUACAGAUGAAGAUGUCAAUGGAGAAAUUAAAACUAUGGCCUAUGAAAAAGAGAGGUACAAUUUAACACAGGGGAUGGGAUUGCUCAGCUGCUACUGCUUCAAAGGCAAAGCCACUCCAGUAGGAAGAACAGGAGGGUUUGGAAGGGCUGGAAAACCUGUGUUCUGGCAAACAGUUGUUAAUUAUCAGAAGCCAAAAUUGAAAUUUCAAGUAAAUAAUAUUGAAAUAGAAUAUUUGGUGGACACAGGAGCUGCUGUGACUAUCAUCUCAUAAACAUCUUGGAAUUCAGAAUGGCACUUUAGAAGGUUUAUACCCAGUUUCCAGGAAUUGGAAAGUUAUCUCAGAUAAAACAGGGUAUGUGAUGGGUUAAAUGUGUGGGACCAAAAUGCCAAACAGGAAAGUUAAAGCCUUAUGUGGACACCCAUAAAUUUAUGGGGAAGGGAUCUUUUACAACAGUGGCGUACUCAGAUCACUAUUCCUGCAAUCCCAUAGACAGAGAUAAAUAAGGGGUGAAAUGGCAGAUGUUCCCGCAGAAGGUAUCAAUAUAGGUUAUCAAAAACACUCACUAUUGUCUUUGAUGUGCCAAUUGUCCAAACACAAGGUAGGCAGGGAUUGAGUUUCCAAAUUUAUAAAAGGGGGCAGGAGGAAGCGCUGCUGAGUGCUGACAGCCGUACCCUUAAAGCGGUCAAAUGGGAAGCCUGUGUGGAUAGAGCAAAGCCUCUAACUAAGGAAAACUUACAGGCAUUUGGGCAGCUAGUGCAAGAGCAGUUGGGAGCUCAGAACAUAAGAGUCUACCAGCCCUCGAAUUCCCCUGUAUUUGUUAUUUUAAAAAAUCGGAAAAAUGGAGGGUGUUAACGGAUUUAAUUGUGGUGACUAGAGUAAUACAACCAAUGAGUCUGUCACAGCCUGGAAUUCCUUUACAUUCUUUAUUACCUAAGGCAUGGCCUAUGAUAGUAAUUGAUUUAAAAGAUUUGAUUUUUUUACCAUCCUCUUGCAUGAGCAGGAUAGGGAAAGGUUUGGUUUUAUAGUACCUACUUAUAAUAAUGCUCAACCUAUAAAAAUGGGAAGUUCUUCCACAAAGAAUAUUAAACAAUCUAACUUUAUGUCAAUAUUUUGUGCAACAACUGUUAGAAAUAAUUCAUAGGCAAUUUCCUCAAUCCAUUAUUUAUCAUUACAUGGAUAUUUUAUUGGCUGAUUCCGAUACAGAUACUUUAGAGAAAAUGUUUAAGGAAAUACAAAGAAUUCUGCUAGGCUGAGGUUUACAGAUCCUAUUAACUAUUUGGCUUAUAAAAUAAGUCAACAAAAAAAAAUUCAGCCACAAGAUACAGAUCAGAAGAGAUCAGUUACAGACUCUUAAUGAUUUUCAAAUUAAUAGGAGAUAUUAAUUGGAAACAAUCUACCAUUGGAUUAAUUACUCAAAUGUUAAGUAAAUUGUUUCAAAUGUUACAAGAUUCAGACUUAAGUAGUCCAAGAUAGUUAACAGCUGGAGAAGAGAGAGAGCGAAAGAGAGCAAGAGAGAGUGAGAGAGAGCGAGAGAGAGAAUAUUCUGGUAGAACAGAGACUACAAGGUACACACAUAUGAGUUACAUAGAUAUCAAACUUUAUUGUAUUUUGGUUUUUUUGUCUUUAGCUCAUUCUUCUACUGAGCUCAUAAAGCAAAGGGAAGAUAGUAUUAUGGAAUGGAUAUUCUUAACACACAAAGUAAAAAUUAAAGACUUACAAAGAAAAAGUUUCUGAUUUAAUUAUAUAAGGUAGACUUGUAUAAUUAUCAAUUAUCAGAGCAGAUCCAGCAGAAAUUGUAGUACCAUAUACUCAUGCUGAGAUAAUGUCAUUAUUGGUAAUCAAUGGAGAUUGGCCAAGAGACUGCAGCAGCGGUUUGGGAGUUCUGAGAGGCCGAUUCUGUAAUUGCACAUUUACUGUUAUAGGGAUACCGUGUACAUCAAAUCUGACAAUGUCCCUACAUAUGUCUCCAGUAAGGUGAACCCACCCUUUACACAUUAUAAUAUAAAACAUAUUAUAGGUAUUCCACCCAAUCUUAUAGGACAAGCAGUUGUAGAAAGCUCUAAUCGCACCUUAAAAGAAAUGCUUAUAAAGCAAAAAUGAAGAAUGAAGAUCCCCAGGUAUUGACUGAAUAGUGCUCUGCUAACUUUAAACUUUCUGAGUGUUGAUGAGAAGGGAAGGACAGCAGCCUAGAGAAACUGGAUUACUAGAAAAAACUGUAAAAUCAGACACAUACUGAAGGAUGCGGUGACAUCGGGUUGGAAGCCAGUGUAGGGACGUGAGCCUGCUUCACAGCAGCUGACUAUGAUUCGCCUCCUUCUCUAGCAGAGGCAUGGCUUUGCCGGCUGCAGAUGGUUUCUGUGAUUGUGCGAUAUUUGAAACUCUGGGAAAAUUUCAGAGGAUCUAUAAACACUAGAGCCACCAUAGGUGGAGUUGGUGGUUGUUGGUCAUUUAGGGGUAUUGGAUGUGGUUCGUUAGUAGUGGUGCUCAAAAGAAACAAAAAAUAAUUAAUCAAAAUCAGAAGUUGCUCUUCUCUCUCUCUCUCUCUCUCUCUCUCUCUCUCUCUCUCUCUCUCUCUCUCUCUCUGUCCUAUCUAGUGAUGGGGGUGAACCAAGGGACAUAAAUGAUGGAAAAAAGAAGAACCCACAAGGUAGCAAAGACCACACACGCAGACACACACACACACACACACACACACACACACACACACACACACACACACACACCCCUUUCCUGGCUGAGGAAUGGUCUUUGUGGAAGCACCAGCCAAGUAAGAAUACAUCUCUGCCAGCUAGGAGAGCCCAGUCCCCAUGGCCAGAGGAGGAAGCUUCAUUCCUGCAUCCCAGGGCCACGUUCCAGCAGCUAGCAGUUACCUUGAAUAAGAGCUACCAUGAUCAUUUACAAAGGCCAGUUCUAGACUCUCCACCUUGUGCUGUCUGCCUGUCCCCAGGAUUCAUGGUAGGGGGAUGUGGACUAAGCCUGUCUUACACUGUUUUCUCCCCUGACCCAGCCCACUGAUUGCUGCUUUUUCUAUGGCCCUGUGCCAUGUCUCUAAGACCAAUGGGGGUGACAACCAUCUACCUUUCCAAGUGCUGCUCGUGGCCCCUCUGGCUAUAUGUAUGUGCAAGACUCUGCUCCAGGCCCAGGAAGACAAUUCUAGAAGGGCUGAGGUUGUAGAGAAGCAGCUCUCUUGCUUCCUAUUCCAAGGCCCGUGCAUCUCCCCUUUCCUUAAGGCAGACAGGGAGGGCACCAAAGAGGCUAAAGUGACAAUGCAGCCGGGAGAAGGUGACUCCAGAGUGGCUGACCUCACUAGUCUCUGUAACAAAGUCCCAUGCACGAUGAUUAACAGAAGUGCACGCUCUUGCAGGCUUGGAGUUGAAAUCUGAGAAGUUCUGAGCAGGCCAUGCUCUCCCUGAAGUCAUGUGCCAGCCGACCCUGCAGGCCAGUCCUUCCUAGUCCUUCUCUUGGCUCCUUCCAGCUUAGACAUCUGUGUCCAUCCCUGUCAGGACAUCUUAUUCUUGGCCUUAUUGUGAAGACAAGCCAUUGUCCAUAGGCCACACCCACUCCACAGUGACCUCAUCUUAACCUAGCCAAUAGUAUCUUUGGUCCAAAUAAGGCCCAUGGCCUGAGGCUGUGAGAAGAGUGAGCUUGGGGGACACCAUUCAUCACUGCAUUCACACGGUCUGCUCCUGGGCCACACCCCCGCUGCUGGGAAUCCUCUGUCUCCUCAGAAACCAGCUAGAAUCCCUGAAAGACAUCAUCAGAGAAGAGGAAAGGCUGACUGCCACAUCUUCUUCCCUUGGUCAACAACCAAAACCCAUGACCAGUAAUUCUGUUCUUACUUGGAGACCACCCUGGUGACCCCUCUACUUCCCUGCAGGCCCACAGCCUGGUGCCCCAUCCCAGGGAAGCAGCAAUUGCUAAUUUAUCCUGAAGAGCUGGCCAGAACAAAAGAAGCGGGACUUCUUGGCCCAGCGGCCUGGAGACCAGAGAAAAAAAUUCCACAGCCCUGACUCCAGCUCGAUUCUCACCACAAUGCUCAUCCACCUCGAAUUGGAAAGGCCCACUCAGCACCCUAGUCCAGCGAGUGAAGGUGCUCAGACCCAAAGUGGUGCAGAGCUUUUCCGAUGCGGAGACCAAGGGCAGAGAUCCAAGCUUUCUCUGUCCUUUUCCAGUCCUUCCAUCGGGAAGCCAUCUGGGGAGCGAGAUGUCCCUUCUCAAUCAGGGACCCCAGCUUCCUGCUAGCCAAGGUGAGCCAAGGCGGAUCCAAACCAUGCAGGCGUUUUUGGGAGGGUGGUGGGGACACCCCUGUAUCUCUGUGACCCUGUAGCAGCGGGUCCUUUCCGCUACCUGAGCAGGCAAAGGCGGGUUCCCUGCGCUAGGCGCGCCUGUGAGAAGCAGAGCCGGAGCUUGCGCCAGGGCUUGUUUGCUUGUAGUGGCGCAGUGUUUCGUGUCCCUAGUGCCUGCUUCACGCCCUCCCAGUGAGUUCCACAGUCCUAGGAAGGUGUGGAACGGGGAAGAGGGUGCUAGGCCGGAGGGCAGAGGAACGGAACCAGGAGAGAACCGGAAAGGACAAGCCAGAAGUCGCCGCAACGGCUCUGCUAGCUGCUUGGGGACUGCUAUUUUGAAAUGCAGCGACCCGGGCGCAGGAUACCGGGGUCAAGUGUCACUUCCUCUGGCAGUCAAUCUCCAAUAUUCCUUGUAAUGUUUUUAAAUGGACGAAUUCAUUACUUGGGGACGUGUGAAUGGAGAGUGUUGGAGAGCAGGCUCGAUCAAUAGCGUCCACUGAUGGUUCAUUUUUCACAGCGGAGAGGGGACCGCGGAGCUGAAGGAAGACCUAAUCAAUAUCGCGCACCACGGGCUGGAAAAGGUCAUUUAGGGAAGGUGGAAAAGUUCAGGCUCCCGGGCCGAGAAGCCUAAUCGCCCCGUGUCUUUGUUGCGACUCCCUCUACCCUUGUCCUUCCAGCACACAGUCACAGAGAGCUGGCUGCUUAAGAGAGAGACAAGUCGGGUCCAAACACGCUAUCGCGACACGCCCACGCCCAGUGUCCACACUACUCCUACGCACACAUAGGUGGACUCAGCCGAAAGGCCACACCUUUUUACCGCUUUUAGCGGUGUAGCGGAAGAGUCAUGAGAAAACACAGACACACAGACACAGACACAGACACAGACACAGACACAGACACAGACACACACAGACACACAGACACACACACACACACACACACACACACACACACACAGAGUCCUCUUAGUAUCUGGGAUGAGUGCCCAGGUGGAUUGGGUGAUUGGCCAGUCAGCCCCGCUGUUGUUAACAGAAAAGGUCAAGUAAAAUUAAAAAGGGAAAUACCUCCAAUAUCCCCUUCUGUCUUGCCAAUAGCACCCUGGGACUCCAGUAGGCAAGACUGGGCACAUGAAAGGCUCUCCAGGAGCCCUCAACGGGAAUUACUGCAAGCGGUCCAGCAAAUGCAAUAGCAGAGAGGGCAGGCAGUCUCUGCCGGUUCCCUGAGUCCUGAUCAGGGAGAUACAUUUAAGAGAAUGUUGUCUACAGAUUAACAUGGCUGAAGGACUUGCCUCGUGACUGGCCACAUCCCUGAGUUUGUUGAAAGGAAAUGACCUACACUCCAUCCCUGGCUACCUCAGCAUCAGGAAGUGUUUCUCUCCUUUCCAAUUUUGCUGCUUGGCCAAAUGGUUUGACCCACCAAAGCUUGUGGGCGUUCUCUGGUUGUGUAUAGUAUAGCUAUUGUCUCAUUUUGUGCACACACACACACACACACACACACACACACACACACACACACACACAGUGGUGCUCUCUCUGCCUCCUCAAGGAACAGAGAGCAGGCUUCCUUCUGGCUGUGGAUAAACGCUGCUCUAGAUCUGACUCUCAUUGGCACCCUAGCCCCCACCCCAUCUUUGCUUCCUCUGAGAUAGAGGGCAAGAUGAAGAAGAAAUACUGCCAUUCAGUCAAAACCGAUCUAUUGACUUGGUUGUCCCGUUUGUUGCCAUCUCGCUUGACCACCUCCUAAGUUGGAGAUGGUUGGUGCUCCACGUGGGGUGUGUUCAGAUGUGCUCAAGUCUGCAAUGGUCAUGAGACACACUUGACUUCAGCAGCAGGUUUCAAACUGUGUGCGGCUUUGCCGAAAGUGUUUGCUCCGGUACCGAUCAGGUGGAGCAUGCCAGAGAUGUUACUCUCUAUGCUGGAGUUCUUUUCAGUCAGUUGAAAUUGGUGGGGGAAAAAGAUCAAUUUCCUUGUUUUGAAGGGUUUGUUUAAAUAUGAUAAUAAGAUAAAAUGAAAAUCGUUUGCAAAUUAGACCUUGAACUUCCUCACAAAAAUUCAUCUUUUAAAGAACAACCUUUAAGGGGCCUUUGUUCUCAAUGCUUUCUGGAGACCAUUCUUUUUACCUAAAGUUGCUUUUGAUCAAGCUACAAAAGUGGCUCUUAUUCAAGUGUAGUGCUUUUUUGUUUUUUUUAAUUUACAAUAUUGACAUUUCUCCUGGGAGUUAAGUUUCCAGGCACAAUGUGUCAGGACAAGAGGCAAAUGCCCCCGUUUUUUAGGUGCAGGUUCUUAUAACAGCCCCAUUUCUAGGAGCCUCACUCAAGCAGAAAGAAUCCGUUUCUGUUCGUUAACAUUUUUUGAGCCAGAAAAUUAAAAACAAAUAUUUAACUUCCCAAUUUGGAAUUCAGGUGGGCAUUGCCAGCUAAACUUUUGCAAUGCAUACUCAAUGAACUAAACGCAAUCUUUACUAGCCAAAUAAAACUACGUUCCCAUGGUUCAAAAACAAGUUAGAAUAAACUGAAGGAUGGAUAAAAUUCAUGGGGAGUGUCCGCAGAGGGAGCUGACAUGUUUGAACAUGGCCAAAAAGACAGCCUUUGGACACUGCUCAAUUCAGGGGCUUUGAUACAGCUAGUAAAAGUACAUUUAGAAGAGAUGAAUAUUAAACAAACACGUAUACCUACAAACCUGUUUAUAGUUUUCUUUUUCUCUUCCAGUGCAGCUUUCCCAGCUUCCCCACAGCUCACCACAAACGUGGCAGGCUGGCAAAGCUUCCUGAGUCUUUAUUUGGGUCUCUCCACCCGACCAAAGGUUUUCCCUGCGCAGGAUAGCAGUUGGAAGCAGGAAUUUAAACCACCAGGGUCUAUCCAUUGUUGCAGGGCUCCUUGUCUCUGGUGCUAAAUUCUUUUCAAUUCUCUUAUUUCUCCAGUAUUUCCCCUAUAUUUUGUCAGCACACAAUUAACAUCUCUGAUACUUCUCUCCCCAACAACAGCAAACGAUCUUUAGACUCAUCUCCAGAGCCAGGCACUGGAGGGUCAAGCCUGCAAAGAGCAGGGACUCCAGGAAGCCCAUCAGCGCCGACGUGGCACUCCCUGAAUCUGGCCUCCUCUGAGCAGCGACUCUCAGCUGUCAGUUUCUCACCCAGCUAGGUUCCUGCAACAGCAUCCUCAGCUGAGUCCAGAACCUGGAUUCCAUGGAUCAUUCAAAUUCAGGGUCCUUGUGCCAAGGCUACUGACAUGAGACUGCUGGCACCUGGCUGAUGAAGGCACAAAUCCAGUGGUCUCGUUAACAGUAUCUGUGAGUUGGGUGUGGGAAGGCAGAGACCUGGAGGAAAGGCAGGUUGGGAGUUCUUACUUCCCAAAGGAUCCUCCCACCACUGAGUAAACCUUUACCUUCUUCCCUCAGCCUCCUGGUUCAGAGCUGUUCUCACAGCACCUAUCUCUGUUCCUGUGACUGCACUCCAUGCUUCUUUUUUGAGACUGGCUGACAUUUGCCUUGGUCUUCUAGCUACAAGAGCAGUGCUAGUUAUAGGCACGAAAAGCAACGGGAUUUCUGUCACAUUGACAAGGGGCUCCACAUACCUAGAGCCAAGCCAAGGUGUAUCUGAUCUGAGAAUCACAGUGUUAGGGCUAGUUCCAAGCAUUUGCCGUCUUCCUCAUAGCUGGCUCUCUUUUCUGUUUUACCAUGUUCUCUAGCCUGCUUCCUACACACACACACACACACACACACACACACACACACACACACACACACACACACGUCCCAGACAAGUAAGGUAAGGCAGGAGAGAAGGUUCAAGUUCAGAUGAGAGGGGCAAUCCAGUAUGAGUUACCUCCUCCAGCUACUCAGGCCCAGCAGCUGGGAACAUCAGAGCCUUCCUUCUCCACAGAGUCGGUAGUUUAAAGGCCAGAGGUAGAAAGGACGGGCCUUCAUAAAACCUUCUGGAAACAAGUAACUUUUAAAUGAGCCUCUACUGUGUAACCAGAAUAGAGUUGAGACCAAAGAGGUUCUGGUCUCACCCUACCUCCUAGAAGAUAACAGAGCCUAGAGCCCUGUGCCUUAGCAAUAAACUAAAUCAUCGAUUCGUUUUUAAAGAGGCACCCAACCAUGAAUUAGCAACCCACACCAUUAAAACGUGGCAUCAGCAAGAUUUGGCUUCGCAGAGCCCAUUACUUCUUGCAUGCACGCAUGUCCAUGUUAAAUAUGGAAAAGAAGAAGAAA